GAUGAAGAACUUAGUGAAAUGCGAUACGUAAUGUGAAUUGCAGAAUUCAGUGAAUCAUCGAGUCUUUGAACGCACAUUGCGCCCCCUGGUAUUCCGGGGGGCAUGCCUGUCCGAGCGUCAUUGCUGCCCUCAAGCACGGCUUGUGUGUUGGGCCUCCGUCCUCCUCCCGGGGGACGGGCCCGAAAGGCAGCGGCGGCACCGCGUCCGGUCCUCGAGCGUAUGGGGCUUCGUCACCCGCUCUUGUAGGCCCGGCCGGCGCUUGCCGACACAUCAAUCUUUUUUCCAGGUUGACCUCGGAUCAGGUAGGGAUACCCGCUGAACUUAAGCAUAUCAUAAGCGGAGGA
rnacentral:misc_RNA from 1 species